rnacentral:rRNA from 1 species
UACGUAGGGGGCUAGCGUUGUCCGGAAUCAUUGGGCGUAAAGCGCGUGUAGGCGGCCCGGUAAGUCCGCUGUGAAAGUCGGGGGCUCAACCCUCGGAUGCCGGUGGAUACUGUCGGGCUAGAGUGCGGAAGAGGCGAGUGGAAUUCCUGGUGUAGCGGUGAAAUGCGCAGAUAUCAGGAGGAACAUCAAUUGCGAAGGCAGCUCGCUGGGACGUGACUGACGCUGAGACGCGAAAGCGUGGGGAGCAAACAGG